rnacentral:lncRNA from 1 species
GGCGGAACCAGUACCUCAGUCCGGAGCUUCCGGUCGCCGCGGCCGACCAGCUGAGGGCUCCCGGAGAUAUGGAGCGGGGUCAGCGAGGCCUGGUGGCGCCUCCUGGAGUCUGGGACGAGCGGCGGUCCGAGGAGCAGCCCAGGUGGGGCGAGGGUACGGAGACGCUAUUUCCCUCCGAACUCUGAAGUAGCCAGGUCAGUGUCGGCUCCGCGAGGGCUGGAGUUCACGGUGACAGCCGGCAGAGCAUCUGAUGCCACGUGGAGAGGCGAAGUACAUGGGUCGGAUUCCACGCUGGGAGCCGGCCUGGAUCUGCGCUUUAGGAAGCCACUGCGGGCGACCCUAUCUUGUCGCCAGGACUUCGCAUCUGAUGAGCCUCAGGGCACACAAGUUAGAGAGGCUUGUGCCGGCUGAUGUGGCUUUUCUUUUUCUUAGUUUCCGUUUAGUAAACGACCUUGUGACUUCUGGCUUGCUCAGGAAGACCAGAAAAAAAGGCAAUAGGUAACGAAUUUUUCUUUUUUUAAAGAAACAGAUUAUUGGCCGAGGAAAAACCAAUUUCGCUCUAAAGGAUAAGCAACAAAAUACUGAGGGGGGAAAAAGCCUACACAAAUGGAAACAUACGGCACAAAAUCAAGGAGCGACCAGUUCCGCAUGGUUACACUAAAAUGCACUGCACUCCCACUCUCUGGCUUGGCUGAAGAUAACCAGCAAGCUCUGAACAGUUUAAAAGCCUUCCAAGGACUGCAGCAGCACUGGACACACAAGAGAGUCGAGAACAGUAUUGGAUUUAUUGUUAGGGUUACAAUUUUCACGAUCUUUGCAUGCAAAACUUGCCACUCUGAGCCCAGUGAACUAUUUUUAUUUGGUUUACUUACUGGCUUUCUGGAUGACUAGGUAGAGCUUUAACUAAAGAACACUUCUGCUGUGGUCUGUGAUGAUGAAUUUUCCCGUAGUGUCAUUUCUAUAAUGGAAUAGGCAAACUGACCAUUUAGAAUGUGAUAUUCCUAAAUCACAUUCAAAUCAGUCUUAUCAGAGACUUCUAAUCAAUAAAAAUAAAGCACCAGAUGGCUAGAGGUAGUUUUUGACCUCAGCUUGGGCCUCAGCAAAGAUUUUUUGUGUUUUUUUUAACUACAUUAAAACAUCAGAGUUUAAGACACUUUUCUUUGAGCAUCAGAAAUACUCUCAGCUGAAUUUAGAGUUGAACUAUCCGGAAGAACCCUGGAGAAGGAGGGUGAUUUAUUUUCAACUUUCUGAUUUACCACCGACUUAAAUCAACCAAUGAGUUCUUUCUUUGACCAAAAAAAAAAAAAAAAAAAAAAAAAAAAAAAAAAAAAUUCAAGACUUGUGAUGUUUCUAUUUGUUUUGUUUUGUUUAGUUUGGUGUGUGCUUACUCAUUGUCCCAUUCUUUUGAUAACCUGUAUUUAUCUGCCACAAGUUAAACAAAAAUAAAUGAAAUAAGGAACACACCAAAAUCCUGCACUUAGGCCCUGUAUAGACAGUGUGUUCCAAACCUAAGGAGGUGUCUGCAACAGGGGAGGCUGCUGAGUGACUCUGCAGAGAACAGAUGACAUCUGUUAAAUGUCAAACACCAUCACGUCGUACUUCAAGUUGUACUUUACUUGGAACAUGGAAGCCAUCUGUCUGGAGCUCCCACAUCCAUUUCAAAUCUUCAGGGUUCCCCAUUCCAGGGGAGGAGCUGAACCUCCUGACACCGUCCACUUCCCUCCUGCCUCCUUCAAACAUCAUCCCUUUUUUCUCCCGAAUCCCUAAAUGUUUCUGCACCCAAGGGCUCUACCCCAAUAAACACAGCUAAGACUCUUUGAUUCUUAAAAUGUCUUCCUUUAACGUCCCACCCUCCAGAAUCUAUUGUCGUAUGUUUUGUUCACCAAAGGUAAUAAAAAUAAAUGUGGAUUUUGGUGCCGUUAUUUUUCAAAAAAAGCUAUAUAUUAAUAGUUUUUCUUGCUUAUGUAUACAAAUCAAAUUACUUAUUUUUAAAUCCAU